rnacentral:rRNA from 1 species
AGAGUUUGAUCCUGGCUCAGAACGAACGCUGGCGGCGUGGAUAAGACAUGCAAGUCGAACGCUAAUUUGGCUGUAGCAAUACAGCCAGGUUGGAGUGGCGCAAGGGUGCGUAACACGUGGGUAAUUUGCCGUGAAGUUGGGGAUAACUCGCUGAAAGGCGAGCUAAUACCGAAUGUGAUCAUUGAAAGGCAUCUUUUGAUGAUCAAAGUUGGGGACCGCAAGGCCUGACGCUUCACGAUAAGCCCGCGGCCUAUCAGCUAGUUGGUGAGGUAACGGCUCACCAAGGCUAAGACGGGUAGCUGGUCUGAGAGGACGACCAGUCACACUGGAACUGAGACACGGUCCAGACACCUACGGGUGGCAGCAGUCGAGAAUUUUUCUCAAUGGGCGAAAGCCUGAAGGAGCGACGCCGCGUGGGGGAUGAAGGGCUUCGGCUCGUAAACCCCUGUCAUUUGCGAACAAACCUUUUCACCUAACACGUGAAGAGCUGAUAGUAGCGAAAGAGGAAGGGACGGCUAACUCUGUGCCAGCAGCCGCGGUAAUACAGAGGUCCCAAGCGUUGUUCGGAUUCACUGGGCGUAAAGGGUGCGUAGGUGGCAGGGUAAGUUUGAUGUGAAAUCUCCGGGCUUAACCCGGAAACUGCAUUGAAUACUAUCCUGCUAGAGGAUUGGAGGGGGGACUGGAAUUCUCGGUGUAGCAGUGAAAUGCGUAGAUAUCGAGAGGAACACCAGUGGCGAAGGCGAGUCCCUGGACAAUACCUGACACUGAGGCACGAAAGCUAGGGGAGCAAACAGGAUUAGAUACCCUAGUAGUCC